GGCGCUAUAGUGUAGUGGUUAUCACUCGAGAUUCUGAUGUAUAUGCUUCCUGAAGUAUAGGUAUUCUCGAAACCCAGGUUCGAACCCUGGUAGCGCCU